GACAGAGGUGCCGAGCGUUAGGCGGAAUCACUGGGCUUAAAGCGUGUGUAGGCGGGCGGGCAAGUACCUUGUGAAAUCCCACGGCUCAACCGUGGAACUGCUGGGUAUACUGCCUGUCUUGAGCCAGCUAGGGGCGAGCGGAACAGACGGUGGAGCGGUGAAAUGCGUAGAUAUCGUCUGGAACGCCGAAGGUGAAAACAGCUCGCUGGGACGGUACUGACGCUGAGACGCGAAAGCGUGGGGAGCAAACAGG
rnacentral:rRNA from 1 species